CAACUCACCAGUACAGAGGAAUCAAUCUCCAGAGAAAUCACCAUUCCUUUGAAGCGAAAUUGAUUUUUUCAAUUUCGCUUAUAGAAUUUAUUGUUAAUAUCCUAUAUAUAGUAGGAAAAUGGAUUAGUCCAAUGUGACCAUGAAGCGCAGUCUGUUGGUAAGACGCUUUCCCUCCAACCAAUAGGUUGGGGGUUCGAGUCACCUUAGGAGCUAGAGUGUGAGUGGGUUUUUUUUUCUUCUUUCUUUGGUUGUAACAAUUUAAAAAAAAAAAAAAACUUUAGGGCUUUUCUAGAAUUUAAAUUUGUAAUCAUUCAUAAUUUAAAAAAAAAUUCUUAUUUGUCUAACAAUUAUACUUAUUUUUUCUAAAAUCUCAAAUCCCACAUUUAUUUUUUCCAAAAUUGCACCAAAUGAAAACUACUGUAAACAGAGUAUUUCUAUUGAUAAAAUAAUAGUCAUAUUUUUUUAUUGGAAAAUUUAAUUUUACCAAUUUAAUUUUCAAUUUGUACCAAAAUUUGAUGAAAACAAAAUUAUUGAUAAUUUUAAUUUGAUCAAUUACUAAUUUAAUAUUUUUUUCAAUAAAAGAUAAAAGAAUGUAAUUUUGAGAUAAAAAAUUUUACAUAACUUCUUUUCAAUAAGAGAUAAAAGAAUGUAAUUUUGAGUUAAAAAAUUACAUGAAAGCAGGACAAACAAAGUGCACGAAACAUAUGUAAUGUCUACAAUUUAUAAUCAAUUGUUUAUAGAAUAUAGUUUUGUUUUUAUUGAGAAUUUCAAUUUGAUAAAUUAUUAAUUCAAUAUUUUUUCAUAAAAGAAAAGGAAUGUAAUUUUGAGAUAAAAAAUUACACAACUUCUUUGUUAAUAAGGGAUAAAAGAAUGUAAUUUUGAGACAGAAAAUAACAUAAAUGCAUGACAAACAAAGUGCACAAAAAAAUAUGUAAUAUCUCCAAUCUCUAAUAAUUUUAUCAAAUUUCAUCAAAUGAAACUUAUACUUAUUUUUCUAAAAUUUUAAAUCCCACAUUGAUUUUUUUACAAAACUUCAUCUAAUGAAAAUUACUAUAAAAAGAGUAUUUCUAUUCUUCCAUUUAACAAGGAAAUCAAACAUAAUCUUGCUAUAAUUACUUUAAAUAAUUUGGCCAAUUAAUUAGUUAGUAAACAUAAAUAGUUAUGUUGGGGGACCGUUAAGGAUGUUGUGAUUAUUGCGGUUCAGACUUUCUUUCGUCGUUCCUAUAUGCCGAUUGGGUGCAAUGCGAGUACUAUGAUACUCAUUCCUAAGAAAGAGAAGGUUUCUACGGUUGCGGAUCUUCGGCCUAUUGUGAUUUCCAAUUUCUUAUUCAAAAUUAUUUCGAAGAUUCUGGCUUCCCAGCUCAGUGUCAUGGCUACUACUCAUGUUUCUGCCAAUCAAUUUGGCUUCAUAAGUGGUUGCAACAUUCAUGACUGUAUUAUGCUCAGUUCCAAGGGCUUCUACCAUAUGCAGCGUACUAGCCGGGGGUUGAAUAUGGUAUGUAAGAUUGACAUUCAGAAAACUUUUGAUACGAUUCGGUGGAGUUUUAUCAUUCAGGUGCUUAGGGCGAUCGGUUAUCAUGAGAGCUUUAUUCGGUGGAUUCUGCCGAUGACUUAUUUGGGUGUGCCUAUUUUUGUUGGUCGGCCUCAGGCUUCUUAUUUUUUUUACCGAUUUAUGAUCGGAUUGCGCAAAAGUUUGCUCGUUGGAAGGGAGUUCAGCAUUCUAUGGCGGACCAUUUAUGUAUUGUGAAAUUCGUUAUUCAAAGCUCAAUUGUUCAUUCGAUGAUGGUUUAUAAAUGGCCGAAAUCUCUUCUUCAUUCUCUUGACAAGAAGUGUAGGAAUUUUGUGUGGUCUGGGAGGAUUAAUAAGAGUCCUACUUGCUCUGUCAGUUGGGGGCGUGCCUACUCGCCUAAGGACGAGAGAGGGCUUGUGAUUCAUUCCUUCACGCUGAUGAAUCAGUCUUAUUUGAUGAAACUGGCUUGGAAGAUGAUCAAAGGUGUUGAUUGGGCUCACCGCAUUAUUUAAUCCCGGUAUCUUACUAAAUUCAGUUAUGCUAAGCAUUCAAUUGCUAAUUCCCCGAUCUGGAUUGGGGUCAAGCAGGAGGUGGAUCAUUUGGUGGACGAACAUAUUCUUGCAUUGAUCGUGGUGAAAUCAUGUAUUUUUGGAAAGACGAUUGGCAUAAGUAUCUUAAUUUUUCAGUGCAGGAUUAUUUUUAUGAUGGUUUGUGGCAUUUUUCGGCUUCGUUUGUCAAUUGCUUCCCGGAGGUGGUGAUUGAUAUUUUGUUACUUCCUUUGAGUGGAGAUACUUAUUCCAGGUAUUGGAAAUACUCGAGCCAUGGUGAGGUCUCUGCGGCUUUGGCCUUUUCUAAUAAGUGCCAUCGUUUUUCCAAGGUGAAUUGGGGAAAGUGGAUUUGGGAACCGUUUAUACCGGUUCAGCGUUCUAUUAUUUGCUGGUGUGUCAUUCAUGGCCGUCUUCGUACUUUGGAUAUCUUGAUCCACCAAGGUCUUAUGGCUCCUAACGGUUGCUCAAUUUAUUUCAUGGGAAUGGAGUCUAUAUUUCAUCUGAUGUGGGACUGUCCUAAAGUGCGUCCUCUUUGGAAGGAGUUUCUUUCUUGGUUUGGCAAAGAUUUACUUUGGGACUGCUUAGAUAGCCAUUCGUUUCUUGUUGCUGCGUGGAAUGCUACUUUUAGUUCUCAAAUCCUUGCUUUCUGGAAAGCUGGGAUUCUCACUCUCGUGUGGAAGCUUUGGGAUUGUCGGAAUUCUAUUAUUUUUUAGAAUGCUCGAUUUGAGGCUCGUUCGAUUGUGGAUUUUGUGAAAGCAUUCUUCAAAGAAUUGGAUAGUAAUUUUGCUAAUUUGGCACCAUUAAUAACACUGGGUCGGACUACUUGGUUUCUAGAAGUAUUGGUGUUGUCAGUCGUUCUGCGCCUUCUCCUCGUAUGGUUGAGGUUCAUUGGUGGCCUCCUGUUCUCAUUGGAUCAAAGUUAACACUGAUGGUUCAACCUUGGGUACGCUUGGUCCCAUUGCCGCGGGCGUGGUCUUCCGGGAUAAUUGGUAUGCGUUUCGUGGUUGUUUUCAUAUUAAAGGUGGGGAUGGUUUUGCCUUUGAAGAGAGCUUCUGGCUGUCAUCACUGCUAUCAAUAUUGCUCACGACCGUAAUUGGUUUCAUCUUUGGAUUAGGUCAGAUUCGAUAUAUGUGGUGCGUUUAUUGGAGUCACGAUCUAGGAUGUUCCCUGGCGCUUUAUUGCAUCAUGGAAAAACGUUCUUUGUCGCCUUCAGGAUUUUUCUUUGAUGGUUACUCAUAUUUAUAGAGAGAAAAAUCAUCCGGCGGAUAUUAUGGCUAAUGGCGAUAGGCAGGAGGGGUGGUGGCCGUUUGCUAUUGAUAAGAUUAAACAGGCUGUGGCUCGUGAUAUGUCUUCUCAUAGUCAUGUUAGGGUCAUUCUUUAAUUAUGUGUUGGGGCGGUUGUUGAUGUUGUGCAUGUGUGUUGCGUUCAUGGCUUUUUUGUUGGGUGUUGCUUCAGUUUCUUGGAUGGGCGACGACCCUGCUGGUUUCGAGCGCUGUUGGCUGCCUUCUUCGGUUGGUCGAGCGGCUGCUCCCGUGGUGCUGGAUAUGGGUGUUUGCUGCUGUUUGAGUUUUGCGGCGAGUUUGCUACCGCAUUUUGCUGAGUGCAGCCGAGUUUCUCGCUUUGGCUGCUAUGGUUUUGGUUGCGUUGGUUGGGAUAGUGGUGUUUGGGAUGGAGCGUCCCCUGGAUUCUUUUUCAACUCGUGGGUGCGCUCAGAGUUGGGAUCCUUUAGUAGCUCCGUGUUCAAGAAGACCUCGCGGUCUUUCUUGCUCGACGUUGAGAUUAUUUUGCUUUGGUUUAUUUGUUUUUGGUUUUUUUUUCGUUAUAUUUUUUGUUGGUUAUUUUUGUGGUUGUUGUCUUGGGAUGGGGGAGCCGAGGUUUCUUUAGGGUGAUGGUUUAACCGGAGCUUUAGAAAUUACCUCAACUCAGCUCUCCUCCCCAUUUUUUUUCCUUUUCUCGGUUAGACGAGUAUUCUUUUUCUUCUUUCGUUGAGAGGUUUUAAUCAGGCACGACCCUUAGUCUGCUCUCCUGUGCUUUCAAGGGUUUUUAGGUUCUUUUUUCUUUUCUUUUUAAAUAUAGCUGUAUUAAAUAAAUAUAAAUAGUUAUGUUUUUUUAUUGAUAAAUUUAAUUUUACCAAUUUUAAUUUCAAUUAGGAUUGUAUGUACUAAAAUUUGAUGGUCAAUUUUUUUCAUUUAGACUUGCAAUGUAUAUAUGAAGUAUGUAAGUUUCUUUCUUUUGCUUUGCCUUUAUUUACUUUGUUAUGAGUAACUAAGUUUUUAUACUUGGUAUGGGCUAAGUUGAUGUUGGGUAUGGGGGCAAUAAAAUUGUGAGGUCAAAUUGGGCAUAAUAGCUGUGCUAGAGUGUUCCCGAAGCAUUAGGUAGGAAUCAAAAUAACUUAGUCGAACUUGGAAUAUUAUUAGGCUGGUAACAUUCUGGGCCAGAUUAAGUUACAAACAUUAUGUGAGCAAAAGUGUGGAGAUCUCUCACUCCGUAAAGUGUGGUUGAUGCAGGCGAUGACAGUAUGCCUUUGGGCAUAUCUGUGAUCAUUUGGCUCUGUUAAUCGUUAAUUCAUUAUGGACAUACCCACACAACUCAAGUUUUGUUGUGGGGAAUCUACUAGGUCAGAGGAAGGUAACAAACCACUUUCAUCUAAUACGAAUGGCACGAAUAAGGGUUGAGUGAGCUUGUGUUUGUAACACCGUGACAAUGGGGGUAAUUCACUGAUCAAACGACUUAUAACCAAUGACAUGCAAGCAUAACGAAUAACCUUAAAGCAAUAGCCGAAAAUACACCUCAUAGCUAACUAGACUAUGCCCAGACCAAGUUUAUUUAUUAUUGAUAUUUUCUCUUGUUUUAUUUUAGCAUUUUAUUUUCAGUCAAAGUCUGCAUUCUGUUCAGACUAGAGUUCUGACACUUAGACCAAAGUGCAACCCAUCAACAAUUAUGACAUCGAGUAUUGAGAUACACCAAACUCUUCUGGGGUUGACCCCUAUACUUGGCCAUUAUCUUAACCUGAUUACUGGCAUGAAAAAUAUAAAUAUAUUUUGCCCGAGGUCUUGACGAUGGGUUUCGGCAAUUGCCCAUCAAGUUAUAUGUGCUUGUUUCAGCGAAAUUGUUACUUCUGAUCCACUAGCAUGGUUUCUCUCCUCGAGUCACUUUCAUGCCCAUGAUCGAGACUAUUAGGAGCCCCCUCAGAAUGACGAUAGUUUCUUGGCAUCCUCCUAAUGCGCCUUGGGUAAAAUCUUAGAAAUAGUUUAGUGCCCCAAAUUACCAACAAAGUAAACUGUGUAAAGCAAAGAGUAAUGUUGUAUGCAAUGUUAUCAACAGAAUGUUAAUAACAUUAUAUCCAACAUGCAGCGGAAAGUAAUAACACACAGGAAUACUUUUAUCACGGAUUAUAAAUAACCCGUGAGUGCCUCAAGGCUAAAUUCACUAUGUUGAAUCAACAAUACAAAGUACAGAUUUGGAUAUUCUUGGAGAUCUAUCUUUACAGAAUAUCUGCCUAAGAUAAACCAGCCUAUCUACUUUCAGUACUACAAUGUUGAUACAACACAGAACCCAAAAAUAGCCGAAUAACAAAAGUUAAUCGGACAAAGCAAACAACCUGCUACGCUCCAAAUGACCUUGCACUUCAAAUUUUGCUCUCGACGUCCCGUCGAUACAAAGAUAGACUUUACAGAUUGGCUGCCUAAGUCUACUUCAUCAAAGAAAUCCUUGAAGAACCGGUGUCACGUUUGCAGCAGGAAAAUGACGAGUUGGCUGUGAGUGAAUGUUAAGUCGCUGAUUUUGCACUUCCAAAACGUAAGGAUGAUUGAAGCUUCUUGCUGCAUUUAUAGGCCUUCAUGUCGUGGUUGGUUUCAUCCACUUCCCACUUCCAGAACCUUCCUAUAACUGCUGCAAUCUGUCUUCAAUAACUGCUAGUCGACCAGCCUUGGAAUGUUGGUUACGAGAUCAUGGUUCCUGAAAAAUAGCAACAACCUGCCCACUACUUUGAACCAUGCAUAACCGCCUAUCCACUUAUUAGAAACGUGGUCAACAAGCAAUAAAACUGUUAUUUCACAACCAAAGAAUAAUAAAACGUGAAAGGAAGGUAAAGAUUAAAUAUAUACAAUUACCAAUGGAGAGUCAAAGUAUGGAGUCAAGGCAGACUCCGGAAUGUUGGUUGAAACUUAGAAAUGUUGUCACCAUGAAUGUUAUCAACAUUCCACCCAACAUUAGAAAACACGAAUGUUAUCAACAUUGGUCCCAACAUUGUCGGAGUCAACAUUGACUCUAACAAUCUCCCCCUUAAUCUUUUCCUUCCUGCAACAAAAACACAAACAAAGAAAAACUAUAUACAGAAAAGAAUUCUAUGUUACAGGAUCUCAGAUCAAGGAAGAGUAAGAAAAACUCCCCCUUAAUCAAACAAGAGGUGAACCUCAAAAACAGUCCAGAAGAGAUGUUGGAACAACACUCCCCUUGAAACAAACAAGAGGAACAACCUUAAGAAAGCACUUAAGGUACAACCUUAAGAAACACAAACUGAAUGUUGACCCAACAAUCAGUUUGGAACAAUCAAGAGACAGUAAAGAACUCCCCCUGGAUUGAGAAACAAAAGAACCUGAGAAAACAAACAAUAGCAUUUAGAGCAUUAACCUCUCGAUCAACAUACUCAGAAUGAACAAAGCAAGCAGACGCAUUCAGAGCAUUUAACCUCUCGAUCAACAUACUCAGAAUGAACAAAAACAAGCAGCAGCAUUCAGAGCAUUUAACCUCUCGAUCAAUCAUUGGAUCAAAAAACCAGUUGAAACCCUUACACAAACAAGUUGAUCAAAUGAAGCUUUGCUUUAUUUAGAUCAAAAUGAAGGUUGGCCGAAGGCCAAGACCUUCAUUUGACCUGCCCAANAUUUGAAAGAGUUUAGUGCCCCAAAUUACCAACAAAGUAAAACUGUGUAAAGAAAAGAGUAAUGUUGGAUGCAAUGUUAUCACCAGAAUGUUAAUAACAUUCUAACCAACAUGCAGCGGAAAGUAAUAACACACAGAAAUACUUUUUUCUACGGAUUAUAAAUAACCCGUGAGUGCCUCAAGGCUAAAUUCACUAUGUUGAAUCAACAAUACAAAGUACAGAUUUGGAUCUUCUUGGAGAUCUAUCUUUACAGAAUAUCUGCCUAAGAUAAACCAACCUAUCUACUUUCAGUACUACAAUGUUGAUACAACACAGAACCCAAAAACAGCUGAAUAACAAAAGUUAAUCGGAUAAAGCAAACAACCUGCUACGUUCCAAUGGCCUUGCACUUCAAAUCUUGCUCUCGACGUCCCGUCGAUACAAAGAUAGACUUUACAAAUUGGCUGCCUAAGUCUACUUCAUCAAAACAAUCCUUGAAGAACCGGUAACACGUUUGCAGCAGGAAAAUGACGAGUUGGCUGUGAGUGAAUGUUAAGUCGCUGAUUUUGCACUUCCAAAACGUAAGAAUGAUUGAAGCUUCUUGCUGCAUUUAUAGGCCUUCAUGUCGUGGUUGGUUUCAUCCACUUCCCACUUCCAGAACCUUCCUAUAACUGCUGCAAUCCGUCUUCAAAAACUGCUAGUCGACCAGCCUUGGAAUGUUGGUUACGAGAUCAUGGUUCCUGAAAAAUAGCAACAACCUGCCCACUACUUUGAACCAUGCAUAACCGCUUAUCCACUUAUUAAAAACGUGGUCAACAAGCAUAAAACUGUUAUUUCACAACCAAAGAAUAAGAAAACGUGAAAGGAAGGUAAAGAUUAAAUAUAUACAAUUACCAAUGGAGAGUCAAAGUAUGGAGUCAAGGCAGACUCCGGAAUGUUGGUUGAAACCCAGAAAUGUUGACACCAUGAAUGUUAUCAACAUUCCACCCAACAUUGAAAACACGAAUGUUAUCAACAUUGGUCCCAACAUUGUCGGAGUCAACAUUGACUCUAACAAUCUCCCCCUUAAUCUUUUCCUUCCUGCAACAAAAACAAAAACAAAGAAAAAACUAUAUACAGAAAAGAAUACUAUGUUACAAGUUUUCAGAUCAAGGAAGAGUAGGAAAAACUCCCCCUUAAUCAAACAAGAGGUGAACCUCAAAAACAGUCCAGAAGAGAUGUCGUAACAACACUCCCCCUGAAACAAACAAGAGGUACAACCUUAAGUAAGCACUUGAGGUACAACCUUAAGAAAGAGUCCAAAACUGAGUGUUGACCCAACAAUCAGUUUGGAACAACCAAGGAGAAGUAAAGAAACUCUCCCUAAAAUGAGAAACAUGAGAACCUGAAAAACAGAAGAAAGCAAAGCAAACAACAGCAUUCAGAGCAUUUAACCUCACGAUCAACAUACUCAGAAUGAACAAAGCAAGCAGCAGCAUUCAGAGCAUUUAACCUCUCGAUCAACAUACUCAGAAUGAACAAAACAAGCAGCAGCAUUCAGAGCAUUUAACCUCUCGAUCAACAUUGAUCAAAAAACCAAGAUGAAACCUUACACAAACAAGUUGAUCAAAUGAAGCUUUGCUUUAUUUGAUCAAAAUGAAGGUCGGCCGAAGGCCAAGACCUUCAUUUGACCUGCCCAAAACACAAUAUACGAAAGUAUAUCAAAANCAUGAUAAAUGUUGAACCAACAGAUAAUCAAAAACCAAGAUAACAUAAACUAUGUUACCAAAAACAGGUGCUCAUGCACCACAAACAUCCACGGGGAUAAAAACCCCUAAAAACCAGCAAGAAACGAUGUCCAUGCAUCAAACACACCCCAAAGAAACAAUAAACAUUGUUUUGAACAAACACUGCCAACAAAGCAGGGUAAAUCUACUCCCCCUUUUUUGUUGAAGAAGGAAAAGGUAGGAGUUUGGAGAAAACUUGUUCACAACAGUCAACCCGUGCAAGCAUAUCCUGCCCCAUCUUGAUCGUCCGAUCCACCAUCAAUUGUACUUGUCUUUUCAGCUUGAGAAGAUCCUCUCUGACCUUGAUGAGCUCUGCAACGUCAAGAUCAAUCUCAACUUCUGAAUCUCCAGCUGGUUCCUUGCCUUUACGAGAUGUUGAUGUUUCUUUAGUGAGAUGGGCUUUGACAGAACUGAUGUUGGAAACAUCAAGAGCAACAUCUGGAGCAGUUGCACGAUCAACAUCUUCAUCUUCACCAAAUUUGUCAAUCUCAGCUUCAGCAGAGUCAGCUUCAUCAUCAGGCUGAGGAGAAAAAGGAGGACCAGAACGUGGUUCGUAAGGGAGGUCUUUGACACGAUCAGGAGUGAGAAGGGUUUUGGAAAACUCAAGCAAGUUCUUCUCUUCCACAAGCACAACUUUCUCUCUCUCCUCAAGUCCUUGUUGAACCAAAAGAUUGUAGAUGAGGCUGGGAAAGGGAAGCAUACUUCCUCCUGUGGACUUAAAUGCUGCACGAGAAAUGUUAACAAACACUUGCUCACCAAAGUUGAAAGCCAAUGGCUUACCAACUUUAAAAAUAAAUUCUGCUUGUUCCUUCGUUAGAGCAGUAGUGUUUUUGCUUGGAAGCCAGUUGUAGACUGCAAUCUUGUGAAGCACAGAGUAUUUCCAAGACAAAGUGGACGCAACAAAUUUAGAGGUCCAUACCUUAAGCUUUCCACCAGUCAACUCCCUAGUCAUCUCAUCAUCAUCAAUCUCAACAUCAGCAGUGUUAGUAUCCGCAGUGUAGCAUGCUUUGUUAAUUGCGGAUGGAGAGAAAUUAAACACCUUACCCCUAACAAAGACUUUUCCAUACUUAACCGAUUUCGAAUCAAAAGCCUCCGGCAUCAGAUUAACAUAGAAUUCCCUAACAAUCUCAGCAUCAUAGCCAAAAACAUUGACAACCGUACCCCACAUACCCCUAUCUUGCAAAAGGAUAUCAAGCUUAAACUUUGAAAAGAAAUCCUCAUCCGCACGUCUAUCAUUAUGAAACUUCCUAGCAGCCAACAUUUUAAGCGCAUUCUUCGCUUCACGAGUGUAAAAGCGAGUAGAAUACGACUUACUAACCUCAACCUCUGAUUCAGAGGAGCUUCCAGAGCAGCUAAGGCGGGGAGAGGUAGUGUGAGAGGCUGAGGAGACCUUCCCGCUCUUUGAGGUGGGAGAAUGUUCAACCUUUGGCUUGAGCACUGUUGGCUUUGAUGUUGGACCAACAUCACUGUCUUCUCGGCUAGGAAGGUUGAGAGUUGAUGGAAUCACCCGUGUGGAUUUGGAUCUUGAGGAUCGCCUAAGAGAGCCAUACAGCUUUACGUUUCCGGCUUUUCUUGUCAGGGACAAAGGUUUCAACAUCAAUAACAUUUGUGCUCUCUUCUGGAUCAACAUCCUGAUCAACAUCAGGAAUCCUUUCAGUUUCAUCAACAUCCAUGGAUGUGGGUUUGUUGCCAACAUCUGCAAAUUCUUCUUCAGCAACAACAGAAGCUUUAUCAACAUCUGAUCCAGGUUGCAAGGCAAGAUCAAGAAGAGCCUCUUUGGCAAUCUCCCCAAUUCUCUCCAAAGAGAUAUCUUGAGAAGCAUGCACUGAUUCCUCUUUUGAAGACGGAAUUGACUCUUCGCUUGGAGUGGUAAGGGGAGUUUGAUGUUGAUCAACAACAAGAAAUGGAUGCCCUGUGGAUUUUUCUGAGGCUGCUUGAACCGUAGGGUUUUGCCAAGGAGAUUUCCCCUUCUUGAGUUCUUCGUCAACCUUAAGAGAUGAACCAUGAAGAGGUGCCAUAUUUGAAUGGAAGAUCUCAAGAGGAGUUACAGUGGAAAUCGGCUCAGGAUUGAUGGGAGUUUCCACCAUUUGCAACGAGACAGGAGCAACAUCAGCCUCAACAGACGACUCAGUAGUGCUCCUCUUCGGAGAGCCUUUUGGAGAAGGAGCUGGAGGAAUGGAUUCUCCUGGGACUUCCACCGGUGUUUGGGAAGAUGAGGGUUUUUCGGUGGAUUCGGCCAUCUGUGGGAGAGCGGAGAGAUGUUUGGCUGCACUUUCCGGUGAUCCGAAGUGUUGGAUCAGACUCUUGAUGAGCGAAGAAAGAUCUGUGUUUUCGUCCAUGACUUUUGAGUUUCAAGAGGAAACACUGCACAAAUUUCGAUAGAGGGGUUUGUGAAGUGAAAGGUAAUAAUGAUGAAUAUGAACAACCCCUUUAAAUACAAAAGAUAAGACCCCAGCCAACAUCAACCACUAAGCCACGAGAUAAAAUCAAAUCCCAUAAAAAUCUCCUUCACACAAACAAAUCAAAAUUCGAAAACAUAUCACAAGAGACAAGAAGAAGCGGAUCAAGCAUCAGAAGAACAAACCCUAGAAACACAAUUAACUGAUAAGAUUACCAAGGAAAAGAUAAAGAGAGAAAAACAGAAAAGAGAAAAUAUAUGCCUAACGAAACAGAAAAAUAGAGCCAAUGUUACUUCAAUGUUAGUCCAACAUUAGAAAUCAAUAUCAUUCAACAUCCAGAACAACAGACUAUGAUUCUUUCAGCAGAGAAGAUCUUUACAAAACAUUUGAGAUCUAAAAGCUCAACAUCCAUUUUCCCUGAGUGCAUCGUCGCAGCGAACGCCGUGCCCCGAGUACUUAGAUGAGAGUAGAGAUGAUCUCAUUUAUUUAAAGAUGUUUUAUGACCAUCAAGCCUCACUCUUGUGCUACCGGUCUUAUAACAUCAACUUUUUUUUAUCAACAUCUGCUAAAAGAACACAACAUAAACCGGUUAGUACGAACAACAUCAAACAACCAACAUGGACACUGCACUAUUAGUAACACAGGCUCCAACAUGCAUAUGCCUAAACAAAAAUAAAAAACAAACACAAGAAACAGAAACAGAUGUUAGGAUCCAACAAAACAGCCUAAGUCCUAACACCUUAAAUGCAAGAACACUUAAAUGCAGCACAAACCGAGAGACUUCCUAAGAUGGGAGAAUCUCUCAAAAUCUAAUGCCUUGGUAAAAAUAUCAGCAAGCUUUUUUCAGUAGGAAUGUAUUCCAACACAAUGAGUUUUUUCUCAACAAGAUCUCUUAUGAAAUGAUGACGAAUUCAAUGUGCUUUGUGCGAGAGUGUUGAACAGGAUUCUUAGAAAUCUCUAUAGCACUAGUGUUGUCACACAUAACAGUCAAGAUGUUACUUCCAUACCAUAGUCAUCCAACAUCUGUCUGAGCCAAAGAAGUUGAGCACAACAACUCCAGCAGCAAUGUAUUCGGCUUCAGCAGUAGAAAGAGAAACACAUUUUGUUUCUUGCUUGACCAGGACACAACAUUGUUUCCCAAAAGAUACAUCCUCCACUUGUGCUUUUUCUGUCAUCGCAUCACCUGCCCAAUCAGCAUCACUAAAUCCACAAUUUGAGUUAGUGUCUUUGGAAUACCACAUUCCAAGUUCGAGUUCCAGCAACAUAACGUAUGAUGCCUUACAGCCUUCAAAUGUGACUCUUUGGCUGAGCUUGGUACCUAGCACACACUCCACCUGUACAGAAUAUCAGGUCUACUGCGUUAGAUAAAGCAAACUGCAAUCAUUCCUCGUAUAAUGUUGGAUCAACAUCACGUCCAACAUCGUCCUGCAUAAUCUGUCAGUGGAACCCAUGGGAGUUCUCAUGUGUUUAGCAGAUCAGGCCAAAUCUGACAAGACUUUUGAGUACUUGCUUUGGAGAAGAAAAUGCCUUCAGGGUUUGUGUACUGAACCUAGAAAAAAUUCAAUUGCCCACCAUACUCAUUCAAUGUGGUAGACAUGGCCUAACAAAUCCUUACAACUUAUCAUUAGUUGCACCAAACACAAUGUCAUCAACUAAUUGUGCAAUGAUAGUGUUACCAGCAUGCCUUUUGAUGAACAAGUUUUAUCAACUUGACCAUGAGAAAACCAUAAUCAAGGAGAAACACAGUAACCUUUCAUACCAGCACGUGGUGCUUGUUUUAAGCCAUAAAAGCCUUUUUAGUUUAACACAUGACAGGCUUCUAUUUUCAAACCUUUAGGCUGUUCAACAUAGGCUUCCUCAGAUAAGACACCAUUUAAAAGCACUCUUAACAUCCAUUGUAACAAGAGAUCCAACUGACAGCAAUGGCAAACAACAGCCUAAUUGACUCAAUUCUAGCAACAGAGCAAAAGUUUCAUCAAAAUCAAUCCUUCCACUUGAGUGUACCCUUGAUUUCAUGCUUUUUCUCACAGUUACCUGCUUCAUCAGUUGUAUUUUAAGAUAAUCCAUUGACCAAUAGUCUUGUUUUGGUUAAAAGUUUGCAGGAGAUUUAGGUUUUCGAGAUGAAGAGAGCAAAUUUUGGAGAGUUCGGGCUAAGAAUCUCGUUUUUAUGCAUACUCUGGCGCGUCAGAGUAGUGAAUCCCCGCGUCAGAAAAGCGAAGCUCCAGUGCAGCGAAAUCAAGAAGCCAGAGCAGAGGAACCGACAUCUCUAGAGCAGAGAAGCGCCAGCAUCAGAGAAGUAAAGCCCAACGCUCAAUAGUCAGAGCAGAGGAGAAGGAUGCAAAGCAGAGAAAUAAGACAGAGCAGAGAAAUCAGUCAUUCCUCUGGCGAUAGCCGUUUCUCUGACGACAGCCGUUCCUCUGGCGAGAUCUGCGAAUUCGGCAAUAGUAGGAGUGUUUUCCAGAGCGUGCAUCCAGCUGGAGAGUUGCCUUAUUUUACACGAUUCUAUUUCCUUUAGAGUUCUACUUUGCAUGGCAACUUCCAUGGUGAUCGAAGGAAAUCUGAAAACUAUAAAUAUGUCCUCUUUUGACCUAUCUAGAUAUACCGGAGAUACUUUAUUUUUCAGUUUUCUAGCUUUCAGAAUUUCAUUGCUUUCUAGUUUUCAAGGCUUGGAUCAAGACUGAAGAUUCAAGCCGCUACAAUCAUUCUUAUUCGAUUUUUAUACAAUUUAGUUUUUAUAAUUGCUUUUUUCUUAAUCAUGUUUAUGUUUUAUUUCAGUAUGUGGCUAGUUUCGCUUAGCUGAUUCUAGUUGAUUGAAUUUAUGUGAUUUAUUUGUUAAUACCUUUGUGCCUUCCAGUUUAUGAUUCAUAAUUCCUGGUGCUUGAAUUCUUGUGAAUUAUCUGAUCAAUAGUUUUCAUGUUUAGCUUUUCGGUUUGAGACCUAGCGGAGAUAACUGUUUAGCGGAUUCAGGGAUGUAUGAUAUGAUUUUAACCUUGAGACCUAGCGGAGAUAGGUGAAUCAUAGGGAGCUAUUCUUAGGAGCUAUUGGGAGUUAGUAGAUUUUCUUGAGACCUAACGGAGAUAGAUAAUUUACUAAUCUACGAUCGUUGCUGCUCUAGCGAGAGUAAUUGAUUAAUUAAGUGAUCUCUCAUCAUAACUGGAUUAAACUGGUACAUAGGAUUAAUAGAUUUAUUUCGUAGAUUUAAUUAAUGAAUUUACUACCCUAGGAUCAGUUGUCUUUUAUAUUUGAUUCUUCUACGUGCUUUUAUUUACUACUAUUUGAGUUUAGUGUUAAUCAAACCUUCCUACUUUCGUUUGCCUGAAUAUUACUAGAGUUUAGUUAGGAUUACUUAGAGUGAUUCGUUAUAAUAGUCCCUGUGGAUACGAUACUCGGUUACUUAUUAUUUGCUACAAUUGCCUGUGUUAGUUGUAGUUUUUGUUGCUAAGAAAUUAGUGAUCACCCCUGUGCUACCAAUCUAGCUUUGUUUCUCACAAUGUUACCAGAUUCAUCAGUUUUAUUUUUAAAAAUCCACUUAGUACCAAUAACGUUCUUGUUAUGUGGUCUAGGGACAAGAUCCCACACAUCAUUUCUAAUAAACUGAUUAAGUUCUUCAUGCAUAGCAUUGACCCACAUAACAUCUUUAAGAGCAUCAGCAACAUUCUUAGGUUCAACAAGAGACAGAUAACAUUCAACCUCAGCAAGCUCACACACAGAAGUCAUACAUGCAAUUCUUACCAACUCUUUGUAAUUGACUCCCUUCUUCUGUCGAGUGACAACUUUUUCACCAACGUCUCCGAUGAUUUGAGAACUUGGAUGAUCUCUUCUCACAUGACUUGGGGGAUCUCGUCUAAUGGAAUCAUGAAGAAAUUGAGCUUCCAACUCUUCUUCAGAGUCCGACACGUAGUUGCCAGCUUCUCCUUCUGAUGUUGACCCGGACGAAGUAACAUCAGAUGUUGGUACAGAUGUUGUACCAUCAUUGCCACUUCUGUGGUGAUCAGAAGCAUGACUUAUGUUGUUGGGCUCCUCAAGUAGCUCAGUAACAUCUUCAUCCUCUGUUCUAUCAAUGAGACUAAGAGAAUCAUCAAACACAACAUUAACAGUCUCUUGAAUAGUCUUAGUUCUGAGGUUAUAUACACGAAAAGCAUGACUAUUCACAGAAUAUCCAAGAAAGAGACCUUUGUCACUUUUGGAAUCAAACUUGUUAAGAUGAUCACGGUCAUUCAAGAUGUAGCAGACACAUCCAAAAAUAUGAAAGUACUUGAGAUUGGGCUUCUUACCUUUAAGGAUCUCGUAAGGUGUUAACAUAGUACCUGGUCUCAUGUACACCCUAUUGAUGAUGUGACAUGCUGUACUCACAGCCUCAGCCCAUAGUCGUUUGGAGAGGCCUUUUGCUUGCAACAUAGCUCUCACCAUUUCCUGAAUGGUUCUAUUCUUUCUUUCGGCAACACCAUUUUGCUGAGGAGUUUUGGGUGCAGAGAACUCAUGGAAAAUUCCAUUGUUAGUACAGAAAACAUCAAAAAGAGAGUUCUCAAAUUCUUUGCCAUGGUCAGUCCUAAUUCUCCCAACAUACUGGCCAUAUUGAACUCUAAACCUUUUAUACAGUUUCUUGAAAUGAGCAAAGGUUUCAGAUUUUGUUUUCAAGAAUUCAACCCAAGUGUAUCUUGAAAAAUCAUCAGCACACACAAGUACAUACCAUUUACCUCCUAAGCUUUCGACUUCAAUGGGUCCCAUUAGGUCCAUAUGCAGGAGUUCGAAACAUUUUGAGGUACAGCAUGUUGACAACAUUGGAUGAGCUGUCUUGUGUUGCUUCCCCUUCUGGCAAGGUUGACACACAACAUCUUUCUUGAAAUUCAGAUUAGGAAGGCCUCGAACUGCAUCAUGUGUGAUCAACUUUUGAAGAUUCUUGAAGUUGACAUGUCCCAGUCGUUGAUGCCAAAGCUCAACAUCAUCAAGUUUGACUGCAUUGCAGAACGUUUCUUCUUGGGACUUGUAGCAAUUGUCAGACGACCUUUUUCCCAUCAUCACACACUGAUUUGUGUCAUCAAAGACUUCACAAAGAUGUUUGUCGAACUUUACAGUCAUACCUGCAUCACACAACUGACUGAUGCUAAACAGGUUAGCCUUAAGCCCUUCAACAAGAUACACAUCUUUUAAUUUAGGAAAAUCAGUAACAUUGAGAACUCCUUUCCCCAAAAUUGUUCCUUUCGCACCUCCUCCAAAAGUAACUUUUCCUCCUGAUGUUGGAACAAAAUCAGAGAGUAAAGCCUUUGUUCCUGUCAUAUGUCUAGAACACCCACUGUCAAAGUACCAAUUCUCAGAAAUAUUAGCAUUCAAGGAGGUGUAGACAACAGUAUUACAGGUUUCAUUUUGUUCUCUCUUAUCCAACAAUCUGCUAAAGUCAAAUCUGCCAAUGUUACUAACAUUCUUCUGAUAACAAUCAAACAUCUGUGUCGCAGAUUUUACAGCACAAUCACUUAUGUAUUUGACACAAUGAGGUUUGAUAUGACCAGGAGCAGAACAAUAAUGACAAACAUAGGAUUUUUUCUUUUUGCUUUUCUUAUGAGAAUCCUUUAUGUUGUCAACAUUCACACUGACAUUUCUUUCUUUGACAAAAACAGUAGUAUUACGAUGUUCCUUUCUUUGCUCCUCAGCACAGAAACCAAUACCAAAAUUACUAUGCUGACCUUGAGACAGAACUUCAUUUAAACAUGAGGUGCCUUUGUUAAACCGUUUAAACACCCUUUCAGAAUCACAAACUUUACCUCUGAGUAUAUCAAGUUCAACAUCACGUUGAGAGAGCAGCCUUUCAAGCCUUGUAAUUUGCCCUUUGAGAUUUUGAUUUUCAUCAACCAACAUACAGAUGUCAUUUCUCAUCUCCCGACAUUGAGAAUCAACAAUCUCAUAGAGAUCUUUAAAAUUCUCCAUCUCUUUCAGUGGAUCACUCUCCUGUUCUUCCAAAGCUGCAACACAACAAAAAUCCGGUACACUAGAAUUGAAAUCAUCAAGCAUAGUCAUUUCAUACCAGUUAGUUGUGUUAGUGGGAAUCUUCAUCCCAUCAAUCUCCUGAACAUCAGUAUCCAUGUCAAAAACAUCAUUAUCAAUAAUCACAUCAAACUGAUCAUUUUCAGAGGAGAUGUUCACAUCAGUGUUAGCAACAUCAACAUCAACAUUCAUGUUGUCAGACUCAUCAAUCAGAUCAACAUCACAGUCAGACCUGGAAAUAUUGUCAUCAACACUCAGAGUUUCAGAUUCAGACAAACUAUCUGAAAAAAUUAUUUCAUCAUCAAGAUCUUCAAGGGCUCCAAUCAUGUCUUCUUCCUGCAAAAGCUACUUCAUCAACUGUAGCAACAAGCAGAACCUUUUCUUCCUCAGAAUCUGAGUCAUCACUUAGGGUUGCAGUAAGACUAGAAUGCCUUUUUCUUGCAACUGUGGGACACUCAUUUGCAUAGUGACCCAUCCCUUGACAGCCCCUGCAUUGAAUGUGAUCAAAACUUCUUACCUCAGAUGUUGUUCCAACAUUCUUCUUAACAUUGGUGAUGUUGGAUGAAGAUCCAACAGACAUCCCAGAAGGUUUCCUGUAACCACUUUUGGAUUUUCCUUUCUUAAAAGAUUUCAGCAUGUUGUUAAAAUUUUUAACCAACAUGGCAAGGUUAACAUCAUCUUCCUCCUCGGGAUCAACAUCUGUACACUCAGACAUGUUAGUAAUAUCAGAAUUUUCAGAGAUCUUUUCAACACGAAAAGCCACACUUUUGGACACAUGAUCAGCUUUUUGUUGUUCAAGAUUCAUCUCAAAAGUUACCAACUUGCUGACCAGAUCACCAACACGCAUAGUAGCAACAUCAGCAGUUUCUUCAAUUGAAGAAAUCUUCAUGUUAUACCUUUCAGGAAGAGAUCUCAGCAUCUUACUGACCAGUCUUUCAUUGCUAAUAGGUUCCCCAAGUCCAACAGCUUCAUUUGAGAUUUCGCAUAGCUUUUCAUAGUAUGCAGAAAUAGUCUCAUCGUCGCGCAUUCUCAAAAUCUCAAAUUUGGUGGUCAACAUUCGCAUUUUUGUUGCUCUAACACUGGCUGAACCUUCACAUUGUUCCUGCAAAAUGAGCCAAGCAUCUCGAGCUUCUGUGCAAUUAGAAAUCAUACGAAAAGCAGGAACAUCAACAGAGAUAAAAAUAGCAUUCAAGGCUCUGGAGUUAUGGUUAGAAAUGAGUCUUUCAUCAGCAGACCAUCUACUCUCGGGUGUGAGAGAUGUAACUCCAUUAUCAUCAGUGGUACGCGGUGGAGUCCACCCAUCCAACACAGCAACCCAGGCACGUUCAUCAAUAGAUUUGAUAUAGAUUUUCAUCCUAGUUUUCCACAAGUUGUAGUUCUUGCCACUACUAUCAAGAGUAGGAGGCCGAGCCGACACACUUGACAAAUCCAUUGGUGGUAAUUUUGCACACAGGAAUCGAUUCUUAGUACGUCAAGAACCUGCUCUUGAUGCCAAUUGAAAGAGUUUAGUGCCCCAAAUUACCAACAAAGUAAAACUGUGUAAAGAAAAGAGUAAUGUUAGAUGCAAUGUUAUCAACAGAAUGUUAAUAACAUUAUAACCAACAUGCAGCGGAAAGUAAUAACACACAGGAAUACUUUUUUCACGGAUUAUAAAUAACCCGUGAGUGCCUCAAGGCUAAAUUCACUAUGUUGAAUCAACAAUACAAAGUACAGAUUUGGAUCUUCUUGGAGAUCUAUCUUUACAGAAUAUCUGCCUAAGAUAAACCAACCUAUCUACUUUCAGUACUACAAUGUUGAUACAACACAGAACCCAAAACAGCCGAAUAACAAAAGUUAAUCGGACAAAGCAAACAACCUGCUACGCUCCAAUGGCCUUGCACUUCAAAUCUUGCUCUCGACGUCCCGUCGAUACAAAGAUAGACUUUACAGAUUGGCUGCCUAAGUCUACUUCGUCAAAGCAAUCCUUGAAGAACCGGUGACACGUUUGCAGCAGGAAAAUGACGAGUUGGCUGUGAGUGAAUGUUAAGUCGAUGAUUUUGCACUUCCAAAACGUAAGAAUGAUUGAAGCUUCUUGUUGCAUUUAUAGGCCUUCAUGUCGUGGUUGGUUUCAUCCACUUCCCACUUCCAGAACCUUCCUAUAACUGCUGCAAUCCGUCUUCAAAAACUGCUAGUCGACCAGCCUUGGAAUGUUGGUUACGAGAUCAUGGUUCCUGAAAAAUAGCAACAACCUGCCCACUACUUUGAACCAUGCAUAACCGCCAAUCCACUUAUUAAAAACGUGGUCAACAAACAUAGAACAGUUAUUUCACAACCAAAGAAUAAGAAAACGUGAAAGGAAGGUAAAGAUUAAAUAUAUACAAUUACCAAUGGAGAGUCAAAGUAUGGAGUCAAGGCAGACUCCGGAAUGUUGGUUGAAACCCAGAAAUGUUGACACCAUGAAUGUUAUCAACAUUCCACCCAACAUUGAAAACACGAAUGUUAUCAAAAUUGGUCCCAACAUUGUCGGAGUCAACAUUGACUCUAACAUAAUUCACUUUUAAUUAGCAGAAAAUGUUUACUCAUGGUAAAUUAGUUUUGUGUUGCUAAUGGUGUAGAGUUGACCAAACCGGUAGAAUUCCCAACUCCAUUCAAUUUAAGUCUGCUUGUGUCGACUUGGCUCAAAUUUAUUGACCCCCGAAUUAACGAUUAUUUCAUGAAUUUGUAUCUUCCAUCUUUAAUUUUUUCGUUGCAAGGUUUGUUUGUAAUUGUCGGGUUGUAUUGGCAAGAUCUUUCUUGUGUCGUGAUGCUUUAUUUUUUAUCCUUUCUCCUUCGCAUUUAUUUAGUUAUUACUUCGCAAUUUAUUUGUUUAGGUGUUUCUGCACAUGUCUGCAUCUUUUGUGUCGAGUGGGUCGAGUAGUGAGAAUUUUAGAUCGUCGGAUGAUGACGCAAGCUGUGUAGAUACUGUGAAUGGCGUGACAAGAAAUAGGUCCUGGGCCAGGCGUGGUAUGGUUGUGUUUGAUUCUGGGAUUGGUGAAAAUCAUUCUGGACCACUUGAAAGGAGUAUUCCCGCAUACAAGUUGGGAGAUAGGAGCCUGAAAUCUGUUAUCACAUUUGACAAGUUGGAUGAACUCUGUACUGCUUAUGCUAUUUCUCCUUGUGCCAAUCUGACUGCUCUAUCCGAUUUGAAAAGGCCCGAUUGGUUUUAUCCAGGAUGGACGGUCAUGUAUGAGUGUUUUCUCCAGAUGGGUGCCCAUUUUCCCCUUCCUCAACUAGUGUUUGAGGCUUGCACUUACUAUCGCAUUGCUCCGGGUCAAUUAGUUUCGAACGUGUGGCUCAUUUUCAUGGCCAUUCAGGUUUUUAGCGAGCUAGGGGGAGGGGUGUUCACUUCAGUUUUUUUGAAGUUUUGCAGGCUUACAGUUUGGAGAUGCAUAGAACUGAUAAGGUUCGAUAUCAGUUUAAGGCAAAUCGUCCGCUUGUGCUAUCUCUUCCGGAUAGCGCCAAGGGUUGGCGUUCUAAAUAUUUUUUCAUAUCUAAUAAUGCACUAAAGGAACCGCGUGAUUCGAUUGUUCCACAGGCGUGGGAAGCUUAUAGUGAGUGUUACAUGUUGGUUGACUUGAAAUUUGAGUCUUUCUUCUUGUUUGAAACAUGUUUUCAUUUCUUUAUGUAUUUAUAACUUAUACUUGACAUGUUUCUUUGUUAUGCAGUUUGUCUAAGGAGGGGGCCUACUGGCUUAUCUUUUGAUAGUGCUGGGAAGAUCGACUGGCUUCUAAGUUUUAGCAAAGAGGAGCGCUAUUUCUGUAAUAUUUUGACUGAGGCGAACUUACGAGCUAACUCUUUGUGGAGUCACAUUUUCGCAGGUAUUGCUUAUUCAAUAAUUCUACCUUAUUCCAACUUGUCGUUAAUAUAACUAAGUAUUUUUAUUUUGAUAUAGAUCACAGGAUGUCAAAGUCGUAUGUUCCGCUACUUCUUGGAAAUGGCGCUGCCAUGGAGGUGAUCCGUAACCGUAGAAAGAAGGCUGCCAGCUCGGGUGGUGUGGUUACGGAUGAUGUUGCUACAACAUGUAUUCCGCACUCUUCUCGUGCUUCGGCUCAAAAAAAGAGGUAUCCUGAAGUCGACCUUACUUUAUCCGAUCAGGCGGACGAUUUCAUCAACUUGUCCUUUCCAAACGUGUCUGCACAUUUCCAGCCUGGAUCUGUCCGUGGGGUGGCCGAACAGUUAUUACUCCCAAGCGAUAGGGAUCACUUGAAAAAGAAGGGAGAUGGAGGCGUUGCUAGUGAACUCUUCGAUCAAACCUUUUUGGUAAGUAUUUUCAAGUGUAGACUAUUUUGUUGACAUGAAUUUUUGAAUUUUCAACUUAUUGCAUUUUUAUGUUUGUUGUAGAGUAUGCAGAAAGCUGCCUUCCUUAAGGAAAGAACUCUUGCGAUGGUGGCGGAGCUUAAUGAGUUGAGGGUUGAACGAGCAAGUUGGCAAGACAAGAUGGAAACCGUCAAGAAGGCGCAUGAUGAGGCCAAUAAGAUUGUCAAGAAAUUGGAGUUUGCCAAGUUGGAAGACGCUCGUCGGCUGGAGCGAGCUGCAGCGGACUGCAAGGAUCUCGAAGAUAUGGUUGUUGCAUUGGAGCAACAAAUCCUUUAUGCAAGCUGUGAGACAGAGGUUCGAGUUCGGGGCGAGAUGACCUUGGCGUAUCUCGAGAAUUAGCCCCCCAAGACUUGGGAUGUCCAGCAAUAUAUAGAUGAAUUUAAUUAGUGAAAGGCUGACAAGGAGGAGCAGGAACAACUUACUAGCAACUUUGCCGGGAUGACCACCGGAGAUGACCAACCUCAGACGGGGGGAGUGACUCUCUGAGGCGGAAAAAAAAUACUUUGUUAUUAUUUGCUUGUCAUUUUUUCUUGCAUUGCAUCGUUUAAAACUUGAUUAUUUAACUAACUUUCCAGAUUGGCAUGUGUCUAUUUUAUCUCCAGCUUGAACUUUAGACCAUUGGGUCGGUUUGAGCUAUUUAUCUUAUUAGGAUGUUUUAUUUGUGAACUUUUGGAAAGCAGACAUUGCUAGAUAUCUGAAAGAUUUGCCUUAUUCUAUAGAUUGAUGUGGUUUGCUGAUAUCUUGUAUCACCAUUUUGCAUGUGAAUUUGUUUAGAGCAUAUACGUGAACAUGUUUGAAUAUCUCAUUUGAUGAAGUAAAUACCUUCAUUAUCAUGGUUUCGAUAUCGUAUGGAUUGGUGCAACAUAUUGCAGCUUGUAUAUCGAAAGAACAACAAUAUGUUAAAGAGAUGCAUAGACACAACUUGUCAUUUUAUUUUCAUUUCAAAUUUUCCAGCCAGGAAUUGAUGUUGGAGAAUUUUAUUGUAUCUAGACAGAACCAGGCUGGAUUCAUAUGUGUCGUCUUGUAUGUGAUUUUGAUACGUAUACUUGUAUUUAUUUUGCCAAGCCGGGACGAGUCGCUGCAGAGGCAACAAAAUGAUCGCUCAAGAAUUGGAAUAAGACUUUAAUUAUAUUAGGUAAUCUAAGUUGGAAUCUGCUAACACUAGCCAACUUGUGAUUGCGUUUGACUUAGGCGGGUUGUGCCCCACUUUGGCGUGUGAGCUAAACAAAUAAUUUCAUGCAACAUGCCGGCUUGGAACUAUUUUUCGAAUCAAAUUCUGAGAUUAUAGAGUUGUCAACUCCAAGUUGCCUAAGUCAAAUACUUGAAAUUGAAGCAAGCUGGUUUUCAUUAGAUGGGGUCGUACUUACUUCAACUAAUGGUGGCUAGUACAAUAUGAUGAAAACGUGGCACAUUCAAAUUUAUAAAAGAUAAAUGUGUACAAACUUCUUGACUAUAAUCGUCGAUUGCGAUGAUUUUAUUGACAUAGGUUGAUAUUGUUGUCGCAGACGGAUCAUCAUUGGCGACUUGUAUUUUGCAAGGUGUUAACAUCGUAGGGCAGGAUGAGACAUGUUGAUUUAAGGUUGGUGGCUGCACUCCGGAGAGUUUCCUACAUACAUCUUGCGAGGAUCAAGCCAAAUAUAGUUCUUGGGCCGGACUGUGCUCCGUAGGGCCAUGCUCCGUAGAGUUGCCUACGUACCAUUUGACGGGAUCAAGAGUGAUGUAUUUCCGUCUUGGUGGCGAUCUGGGCGGCUAGGUCCGCCUGAGCAGCCACGUGGGGUGCAUAAGGAGUUUCAGAUCCGUCACGACCGUCAGACAUGAUUGAUGCUCGUAGAGAUCUAAGGAAAGUGCGUUGAUUCGCUUGAUUGCUAGGGCCCACGGUGGGCGCUAAAUUGUAGAGGCUAAAAUCUACAAUUGAGGUUGACGUCUGCACGUCCGGAUAGAUUGAGCACUAGCAACCUGUCAACACAAGAACACGUAAGAGCCCUAGGUUGAGCAUCGGGAGGGGGUGUUGACCAUAGAGCCUCCGAUGCUCAAGUCAGUAACGGAAUAGCAAAAUAGAAUGACAAAUAGAUUGAAAUAAGAGAGAAAGACAGGUUGAAAUGAAUGGUUAUUCCAAGGUGUCGAUGGCAUUCGGAGGGUGAAAACGGUGACAGCGGGUUGUGAUAAUGAAAGGUGGAAGGCGGCCAAGUUGGCUGUAUCCGACUUGGAAGAGUAAUCAGCUUGGCGGCAGAGUAGAGAGAGUUCAAGAAGUCGAGAGCAAGUAGGAUAUCAUGUCCCUUUUUAUGAUCUAGUCGGGUGAUGAGGAGUACAAUAUGCAUCAGCGAUGUACAUAUUGGAAAUCCCAUCUUUGGCUGGAUCACCCGUGAAAACGCCAGCUUUGGGGUUUGUAUCCCGCUUUGCCGGAUUCCAGCACUUCCAGAGCCAACUUUGCCGAGAGCUAGCUUUGCUGAGAGCCAGCUUUGCCACCGACUUGGGCUUCAUUUCUCUGUUUUGUGGGCUUUGGGUUUAGGCCCAAUUAGUCAUCUAUAAAUAGGGCUCUUGUACAUGGAAAAAUGGGGAUUCAUUCAUUUUUUCUAGCACUUGACUUGUAAAUUGUAAACUUCUCACGAAACAUAGAGGAAAAACUGAGUAACGCCCGUGGAUGUAGAUCUUUAUGAUCGAACCACGUACAUCUUAAGUCGUUUAUCAUUUCUGCCUAUCUUUUAUUGUUGGGAUUAUUUUUGAACUCAUCAUCGGGCUAUUUAUAUAGGGGACAUCCAACCGCUAGGAUUUCUACAGUCUGACCCCAUCCAAACCCUUAUCUCCCAGGUAGUUGCGAUUUGAACGGGAUCGUAAAGAUUCAUCCUCUGAUCGUGUCAGCUUGGCGAGAGAUGUUUCUUAGGGUUGAUGGCUGGGUCAUGUGACUUCGUCGAUUAGGUGGCGGUAACCCUUGGGUCGGAUGUGAUACAUCCGGCCUGGUUAUCGAUUCAAGUUGAUCUAUAGCUUUUUGGGCUAGAUGGGCCAAUCUGUGUGAUUGACUGGGCCUUUAGGGUCUUGCCAGAUUGACGAGCUAGCUUGGCGGACUAGCUUGAUGGGCCAAGCUAGGUGCGAAUUAUUCAGUCUGACGGUUCUGAUAGGUUGGUCUUGAAUUGAGGUAUUCAACCUGGGUCAGUCCAGGUAGGUCUUAAAAUUUGACUUAUCGGGUUGGGAGAACAUGUUUUCUUAAGUAAUUGGUUUAUCAUCGUUGUCGAUCCAAGCUGGUCCGAAGCUUGUCAGACUGGAUGGACCGGGUUGCUUGACUCAUUCUGCCAGCUUGGAAUGUUAAUUGGGCUUGAGCCAAGUUGACGGAUUUUGCCCAUUAUACCUGCGCGCAAACUCGAAUUCGAUCCGCCCUAAUUAAGGGUAAAACAGUCUUAAAAUAUAAAAAAUGGCCAAAUAUUGUGUUUACUGUUCAAAAUGACUAUCUUAAAAUGAGACUCUUAAUUAUACAAAAUGAUUUUUUCCUAACUUUUUUACUUGCAAAGUCAUUUAAAAUAAUAUUUGUUUCAAAAUUUUCUAUAUCAUUUUCAACAAAUAAAAUUGUCAAACUAUUAGCAUUUGAAUUUUUUAUUUUUAAAAUAUUUGGCCAUCUAAAAAAAAUAUUUUAACUAAGUGGAUAUACCUUAAAAAAAAGCAAAUAUAAUUUCUUUUGACUUAAAUAAUACAUAUAUAAUUAAAAGAGUAUAAUAUUUUGGGCUCCCUUAGAAUAAUGGGCCUUGGGCGGUCGCUUAUGUUGGCCCAUGCCCAGGGCUAGGCCUGCAAAUUAGUUCGAGAACUUACUAGAAAACAUAAACAUGAAUAACAUAAAACAUAUAAUACAUGUUAUAAAAUAAUAAAUAGAUAUAAUUAUUUUUUCCGAGUUUGAGAUGAGUUUCGAUUGGGCCUGGGCUGUUAUAAUAAUAAAUAGAUAUAAUUAUUUUUCUGAGUUUAAGAUGAGUUUCGAUUGGGCCUGGGCUGCUCCAGUUGACAGCUUAAGAAUGAGAAAAAAUAGGGCUUAUUCUUAUAUUAGAAGUUAGAACCACCAAUGAUAAGAUUAGGUUCAUUUGAGUUGAGCUGCUCGCUUCUCCACCGGUAGAUUAAAUUGCCAGAUUCUUUUCAAAAUACACAAUUAUUUUAUCUUUUGAUCAAACUGUGUAAUAUACUAAUAAUUUUGUUGCUGUCCUUAGCCGACCAGAUGUGUCAUUUCAACCGAUUAAUGAAUGAAACCAAAAANGAGAGAAUAAAAUACACUAGAAUCAAAUUUCUAUAUAUCAUGUAUAGUGUUAGGUACUAAUUCUUUUAUUCAUUGCCACUAACUGAUCAUCUUCUUUGUCUUUCCAAAUUUCCCACGUAGAAAAUGUUUGUGUAUGAAAACUAAUUCUUUUUUCUUACAGUCAAAUUAUCCGUUCUUCAUUUUUUAUUUUGUUUUGUAUGGUGUUUGUGUGUUCUAACUUUUGAGUCAACCAUGGUGGGAGCAAAUUUUUUACUCCUGCUCCUCGUUCUAACUGCAUUUAAUUCAGCUGCUGUUUUGACCCUUCAACACGCCAUAGCUAUUUUCUUUGUUGAAAAAAAGUAACAAGAUACCACUUAUAAAUUUCCAAUCAUGUCAAGAAUAACCAGCAUUUCAUACAGAUCUUUUUUGUUGUGGUUGUGGUUGUGGUUUUGAUUUUGGAUAUUGCAGUAAAUAAAAGUAGAAGGAUCAAAGAAGGUACGAGGGAAAGAGGGUGGCUUGCCUUUCUUGAAUCUUGACCCCAUUGAACUUUCUCUUUUCUAAAUUAAAAGUGGAAUCUUUAUCUCUCUCUCUCUCUCUCUCUCUCUCUUCUUUAACUAACCAAUUGAUAAAAAAAUUGUACUAGUAUAUCCAUGUGAGGAUUGUUUUAGCGAUAAGUUUAUUCUUGGAAAUCUUUUCCUGUGUUUUCUUUGAGAAGAAGAAGAAGAAGAAAUGGCUCUGGUUACUCAAGAAGCCAUCAACCAAUUUGAAGCAUUAAUGGAGGAAGGUUGAUAUUUCUUUCGAGGCCCCAUUUAUUUAUUAAUUAAUUUUGGAUCUUCCCUGAUUUCUCAUUUUUUUUUUCUUUGUGGAAUUGUUUUCAGUGGACGAACCACUCAAAAAAACUUUCCAGGUUUGUUUCCCCUUUUCAUUCAUCAUUUGUAAAUUUUUCUUCCUGUUGUUGCAUAUCUACUGUUUGGUUUCAAAAAUCAUUUGUGUUUAAUCUUCUAGUGCUAUUCUGACAAUGUCUUUUGUCUUUUUUUAUUUACCUAGUGUGUAUUUGUUUUAAGUCAUGUUAUAGAAGUUAUUCUUACUGAUUAAGUUGGGAAAAUAGAAAUUCGAAAAAAAAAAAGGCUGACCUUGGUUGUUGUCUUGCACUUAUCAUUGAAAUUAUGUGAUAUGAACUUUGUUUUUCUUUUGAUGAAAAAGCACAAAGACAAAAUGGGGUUUUCUGCAAAAACAUAAGCUCAAAACAACUGCUGUCUAAUUCUGCUACAUUUUUUUGAAUUUGAAAUACUCUGAACCAUUUUCAAUUUGCAGAAUGUACAUCAAGGAUAUCCUCAUGAAACGUUUACUCGUUUUCUGAAGGCGCGAGAAGGGAAUGCUCAAAAGGCUCAUAAGAUGGUCUGACAAAAACCUUUUCUCUGAAAUAAGUUAUGAAAUGUAAAAUGAUAAGCAUUCCUGAUGAAUUGUAGACUAAUUGUUUGUUGAUGAUGCGAUAUAUCAGUUGGUUGACUGCUUGGAGUGGAGAGUUCAAAAUGACAUUGAUAAUAUGCUAGCGGUAUGUUUUCAACAUAUAUGUGUGUUGAACUGUUGACAGUAAAAUAGCUGAUUAAAUCUUAGUGCAUAUUGAACAAUGUUUUUGUAUUCAAGGUCAAAUUAGUCCCAUUUGGCAUAUGGUGAGGGCUGAUCAAACUAUGUUUGAACAUUCUUCUCAAAAAAAAAGAAGCUACAUUUGAUCAUUGCCUAUCAUGUCCUAAAACAUCUUUCUCCAAUUUAUAACAUAACUAGUUUGUUGAGGUUGCCUUCUCUUCGGAAAAUUUAAGCCCUUCUCUCUUCUCAUUUCUGAAGCAACCCAUGGUGGAGUUCCUCCACAAAUUGUGAACUAUCUCGAUAGCGAAACACUUACAGGGACUAUUGUUUCCCUUAAUAUUACUUCACAACUUAAUUGCUGCAUUUUACUGCAGAAACCAAUUGUUCCCGAGGAACUUUACAGAGGGAUACGUGAUUCUCAGCUUGUAGGAUUGUCGGGUUACUCAAAUGAGGUGAGCAUUUGAUCUAGCAGGAAUACAUGACUACACAUUAGGUGUCUGAUCAGUAUUAUCUUCGUAAUUCCAUACACUCACUAACGGGCAGCUAUUUCAUCAUUAGGGUCUCCCUGUAUUUGCUGUUGGAGUAGGCCUGAGCACAUUCGACAGAGCAUCCGUAAGUAUUGCUGCUAAUAGUUCUCUUCUGGUUUCCAGUGCUUUAUACGGCAUGGCAUGAAACCAAAUUUUCUGAAGUUUCUGUUCACCAAUAAUUCACAAUUUCUUCAUUACCUCUGACAACAUUUUUCUUCGUUUUAGGUUCAUUAUUAUGUGCAAUCCCACAUUCAGAUUAAUGAAUACAGGGAUCGUGUGAUUUUGGUAAGUGAUACUCGUGCUUCUACUCUAUGUUUUUCCAUUUGCUUACACUUCUGUAUGACUUACCAUUCUUAUUGCAGCCUGCUGCGACGAAAAAGUAUGGGAAGCAUAUCAGUAAAUGCGUAAAGAUCUUAGAUAUGACUGGCUUGAAACUCUCGGCACUAAACCAAAUAAAGGUAUAUUAAUAGCUAUAGUUUUUCAGUAUUAUUUCAUUCAAGAUACAGUUGUUCUUUUGUAUUUUAUCACUAAUGGUACUCGUAUUUGUUCUUUUGCAGCUCCUGACUAUAAUUUCUUCUAUUGACGAUCUAAACUACCCCGAAAAAACACAAACUUAUUACAUUGUGAAUGCGCCAUACGUCUUUUCGGCAUGUUGGAAGGUCCGUCUCACACUUUCUUCCUGUUAGGUGUUACUGGCUACUUUUUCUUAUGACGGAUACUGGAGUUUUCAGUGAUAGGACAUUUCAUUAGAAGACCAGUAAUAAACUUUCUUCUUCUUUUUUCAAAUAUUUUGUUCGAGAGCUUAACCUUUAAUCUGUUAACAGGUAGUAAAGCCACUUCUUCAGGAAAGAACAAGGAGUAAAAUAGAUGUACUCUCGAGCUGUGGACAGGAUGAUCUACUUAAGGUAAUUUCUAGGUCAUAUUAGUAAUUUUUGUUUACUGCUGCUAGUAUCGUAUAAUUGAAUUCGACAUCACAUGGAAUUGAUGCAUAAACCGUAUCGUUUUUGUGAUAUCUGGUUUUGGAAUUCUGGCUCCUAAAGCUUGUCCUCAUCUCCUUCAAAUAGUCUCUUCUCUUUUUUUCCUUUUUCUUUUUUUUCCCCUUUAAAUUUCUUGUGUUUUUAAAUAAUUUUAUUUUUCUUCUGUGAGUUUGAAGUUGGCAAGUUAGCUAAAAGACAAAUUUUUAUGUUUGGUGCAGAUAAUGGAUUAUUCUUCCCUUCCCCAUUUCUGCCGGAAGAGAUCUUCUGAUUCUUCGAAAUAUUCAGAGAGUAGCUCCGGAAAUUGCUUUUCCUUGGACCAUCCAUUUCACCGACAACUCUACAAUUACGUUAAGCAGCAGUUCUUGCUCUGUCAACCUGCCCCACCAGUAAAGCAAGGGUCCGUUCAUGUAACUUUGCCUGAAGACGCUGAUAAAGAAGUCAUUGCAGAGACUUUGGAAUCCGAGUUAAAGAAAUUCAAGGAUCUCAACAUUGCUCAAGGACCUAAAAAUGAGUAAUUACAAGCUUGCACAGAUAUCUUGGUUUAGAAUUCUACCUAGCCAUCCUAUAGCUAUAGAUUGUUAUGUAAUUUCAUGUAGCUCGCCAAACAUACCUAGUUGAAGCUGUGUGCACAAUGCCCAGCCACAGGCGAAGUCAUGUGCAGAUGCCGGCUUCUCUAUAUCAUCAAGUAUGUCCUAAUCUUGCAUCCGUUUAACAUGAGUUGUAAAGAAAAUAUACAAUAUUUCAUAUAUAUAUAUAUAUUCUGGUACUGUUUCCCUACAAGAGUGAAUCUUGAGAUCCAUAUCAUAUAUGUAUCUCUUAUUCUUUGGAUAUGAUUAUUUGGUCUCUUUGAGGUUAGUUCUGUGAUUCUUCUGUUUGGAUAAACAAUCUAAUGAUAACUCUAUUUGAAAUCAGAUAAUAGUUGAUUCAAGUGUACAAGGCUAGUUGAUAAAGACUACCUACACUUAAUCAAAACAGCUAUACUACCUUUACAAGAAGAUGGAUAUUCUUGUGUUUCUUGACAUGUUCUCCAGGAAUAUUUUUUUGUCAUUUACAAUAUUCCAGAUGGCUCUCCGACUACGAUACGACAUUUCUGGAGUUCGCCUUCGACUACCUUCCUCCCGGCCUCUGCCACCUCUGCCCUCUUCACCGCGUCCUCAAUCUCUAACUGUAAGUCCUCACUUUGUUUCAAGAUCACCUCUGCCUUCUGUGACGUCUCAUUCUGGCUCGCCUUUAUUUUUUGCAAAUCGGCCAUGAGAGCCUGCACUUUGGAAUCGGCAUUAGUUCUGCUUUCCUCAAUCUUGUGGUUCAUCGUCUUGAACUCGUCGACUGACAGCCUGAUCUUCCUUGUUGAUGCAGGUCCCGGUCCCUUCAAGUUGGCCGCACCAUCUGCUUUGGGAGAAUCUCGUAUCUGUUCGUCUGCGAGCUUUUGUGCAGCCUUAGCCUCCUCGGCCUCCUUCAACGCGAGCUGCAGCUUCUCGUCAGUUUCUUUGCUGCAAUGUUUGCUGCUUCAGCUUCUAGCCUUAGUAGUUCGACAUCCUUCUGGAUCUUCUCUGCUUCCACCCGAUCCGUUUCAGCUUCUGCUAGCACCUUGUCGAGAGCCGACUGCAUUUCCUCGCGGAUAUUCCUAGACUGGGCCGUCUCAAGCUCGAUCGUCCUCUCCGCUAGCUCGGCCCUCAUCUGCUCGAUCCUCGACUCUGCCUCCGACGCCUUCUUCUCACACUCAGUGCGGUCCCUCUUUACUUGGUCUACCUCAUGCUCGAGCGACUCCACUGAAGUGUGAAGUGAAACCUCCUCCGCAAGGAGCUGCUGUAGUUCCUUUCUGGCGCAGUCGAGCUCCGUGACCGCAGUCUGCAACGAGUUGAGAUCAGAAGCGCGCACAUCAUUGAGCUGCUCCUGCAGAACCUUGAUCGCCUCGGUGGCUUCCUCGAGCUUACGCGCCAGAUUCUCCUCAGGGCCGUACACUUCUCUGAGGGUCUUGAUUUCCAUCUCAGCCACCUCCUUAGCCGACUUAUGCACCAGCAAGUGAACCUCCUUCUCCGCGAUGAGCUUGAGGUGCUCCUCCUGCGCUUGGAGGGAGUCGAACUUGACCUGAUCGAGGGCACGACGGAGCAUAGAGACUUCCUUGGAGAGCAUGUUCUGCCUUUCCCCGCUGGCUUUGGUGGCUUGCCGCGCAUCCUCUAUCCUCUGAAACGCGGCCAGUUUGGCCUCGAGCGCUGCAUCGAAGUCUUGUCUUAAGUUGGCGAGCUCUUGCUUGGCAACGAUGAGCUCCCCCGACGAGGCCUUGUAGCGUUCCCUCUCAAGGUCGAGCUCGAGCUUCCACGCGUCGCUGCCCAUUUGAGCUUGGGUUUGCUGCACCUCCAGCUCCGCGGCUCUCCGUUUCGCGGCUUCCGUGGCUUUGAUCGCUGCUUGCUUCGAUUCGCUGAGAUUUUCGAGCUUCCCCGUUAGGUCCUGCAGAGCUCUGUUGGCCUUCUGCAGAUCUUGGUGAGCUUGUGCCUUGGCAUUUUCUGCACCCUUCAGCUGCUCUUUGUAGUAUUCCAGCUCCUUAAUCACCAUGUGAUGUUGGGUCUCUUUCUCCAGCAGUUUUUGCUGCGUAUAAUUAGUUAAGUAUAAAUCUUACCAAUUUUAUUCGACUUCGAUGGAACUAUGUUAGUUCCAUCGAAGUUUUCUGCAAAGGUCGAAUGAAGAAAAAAUGUUCUAAACUUCGGGCCAUAAACUAUUACCUCCUCGGCUUUAGUCUUCUUGGUGACGGGCCUUGCUCGGGGCGAGAUAACUUCGCCGAAUAAACUAACGGCAGCCUUGACGGAUUCGAAGGGUGCGCGAGUGUCGAUUUCUCCGACGUCGGUUUUCGGAGAAGACGACACCUUGGGAGAUUCCACUCGUGCAACUGCGCUCGGAGAUCUCGGUGAACCAAACCCAUUUUGCAAUGUUCUUACAGUGAAUCCGAACAUUAUUAUUCCUUGCCUUCUUCUACCAACUGCAUUCAAUCAACAACUAUAAACAAAUUCAUGCAAAUAACAAAUAUAUGCAUAUUCAUAACGACAAUGUUCAUUAGAGUAUUUUUUUAUUUUUUAUUUUGAUAAAAUGUACUACUUAAAUUAAAAUUAAUGUAUACGAAAGCUUCAAUUUUAUUAUUGUAAAUAUAAAAAAUAGUUACAGAGAUUAAAUAUAGUAGCCGUAUUUUAGCGUAAAUUUUUUGCCCUUAAUUAAUGUAAAUUAGCUUUAAUUAAGUACUUCCUCCGUCCCAUUACAAAUGUCUUUUGUAAAAGUAGAUAUAAAGAAAGAGUAAGUGAUGGGUCUAUUAGUUACCCCCUCCGUCCCGCGAGUCUUGACACGUUUGGGUUCGGCACGGGAAUUAAGGAGUUGUAGAUUAGUGUUUUAAGUGUGUAAUUAAUAAAGAAUAAAAUUGAUAAAGUAUGAGAGAGAAGGUAAUAAAAGUGAUAAAGUAGGAGAGAGAAUAUAAUAAAGGUGAUAAAGUAGGAGAAAAAAUGUAAAUUAUUGCCAAAAAAAGAAACGUGUCAAGAUUCGUGGGACGGCCCAAAAAGGAAAACAUGUCAAGACUCGCGGGACAGAGGGAGUAAUUAGUCUCUUAAUUAUUUGUCAAAAAAGAAAUGAGACAUUUAUUAUAUAAAACAUUCCAUUAUAGUAAUUGAGACAUUUGUAAUGGGAUAUAGAAAGUGUUAAACUUUUUUGGUUUGAAUUGUAUAAGGCUAAUUCACGACGAAGAAUCUUUGAAAUAUCUUUGAAGUUGUGAACUCUAGGCAAAAUUGGAUUAAUUCACAACUAACAAAUAUUUUAAUAGUGAAUUAUAAGUAAAAUAUAGUCAAUUCACGAUUAAGAAACUUUGCUAUUGUGAAUUUUAUGCAAAAUAAGGCUAAUUCAUAACUAAUGGGGCUUUGUGGUUGUGAAUUAAUAAAUGUAAAAUUGUAAGAGUAACUAUUUAAUCUUAUUUUCAUCUUACAUUAGUAAAAUUGAUAUCUUUUUAGAUCACUCGUUAAAUUAUGACAAGUAUUUAUCUUUCCAUCAACCGUUUUCAGGUUCAAGAAAUGGAUACCUCGAAAUACUUUUCAAAUAAAAGAGUGCAGUUUCACACAUUUCCCUUACAAAUCGACAGCAAUUCUCCCAAUUUCUGGAGAGAAUAAGAAAAAAAAAAANUCAUAGCAAAAAGAGAGAUUAAUUAAAGAAUCAAAUUACAUUGCAUGUAAUGUCAUCACAAAAUCAAAUAUUGCAUCAAAUCAAAAGCUAACUUACUGUAAUCGUUUAAAAGAAUGGGGAAAAGAAUUGAAAGCUCCAAACAGUUCCCCUCAGAUCAAUUAAUGAUGAUGAUGAUCGAUCUUGACACAAAUAACUACUCCUAUAUUUAUUUUUCAAAAAUAAAAAUAUAUAUUUACUCCUCUAUUUAGUAAUAAAAUAUAUAGGUGAGGGGGGAGUUUUCUUGAUUCAAAUGGAAAACUCAAAGUCUGUUUUUCUCCUCCUAAAAGAAAAACUAACAAGAAGGAAAAGAAAAUGGAAUUGAAAUGAUGAAUAAUAAUAAUAAGAUGUGUUGGGUGAUAAGAUGUAGUUUGUGGAAGAGCAACUUCUCCGGUCUCAUUUGAGUUGCCAUUCUCUCUCCGAAUUUUCGGCUGCUUCAUCAAAUUUAUUCCCUAAAUAACUGAUUCACCUCGCCCACUCUAUGUGCUUUUCUUUUAUUUUCUUUUCAAAUUGAUGCUGAUUAAUUAAAUUUACAGUUUACCUAAAUACCCUUUAGCGUCAUCUUAGAAAGAGUUCGAGGAUUUUUUAGGACAGUAACUCAGAUUAAUUUGGAAAUUAUGACAAUAACUUUCGAACUUGUAAAAAUAGGACACUAAUUUUUUUUAGAGUAAAAUAGGACACUAAUUAAUAAAUGUUACAUCCGCAUGACAUUUUUCGGUCAAUUAUCAGCCGAGAAAUAUCCUAUUUUUACGACGCUUAUUAAUUAGUGUCCUAUUUUGCUCUAAAAAAAAAUUAGUGUCCUAUUUUUACAAAUCCGAAAGUUUUUGUCAUAAUUUCCAAGUCAACAUAAGUUAUUGUCCUAAAAAAUCCAUUGAUUCUCUUAGAAACAAUUAAGGUUAAUCAAUUUCAAAUUUGAAAUUUAAGAUUUGAUCGGUUCACGUAAUUUUUAAAUUUAUUUGUUCAUUAAAAAAAAAUCAUAUUCGAAUUACAUAGCUAUCCGUGGUAAUUACAUAUUCUUAUUUCGACAAAUUACCUGGUCAUUUCUUUUUUCUUUUUUUGAUAAAACACUUUGUCAUUAUCACUUCAAAUUUUAUUCUAAUCUCAAAACCUAUUGGGAUCUCCAUUAUACUCCCCCCAUCCUUGAAGUAAGUUCCUCUUUUUUUUUUUUUCUUUUUGGGACGUCCCCAAAUAGGGAUGACAACGGGCCGGAUCUGGACCGGUCUGGACCAAUACGAUCCAGAUCCGUUUUCAUAUACUAGAUCCAGAUCCAGAUCCAGAUCCGUGGAUCUGAAAAUUUUGGAUCCAGAUCCAGAUCCGCGGGUCCACGGGUCCAGAUCCAUGGAUCUACUAUUUUUAAAUUAAAUUAAAAAAAUUUCACAAAAUCAACAACAUCUAAUUUCCAUCAUGAAAAAUAUAACACAAAAUACUUUUAUCUAAUUACUUUUAGUUUUUAUUCUUUUAAUAUAAUUUAUUUAUUAUUUUUAAUUUAGUUAAUAUUAUUAGUAAACUAAAUAUAAAAUAUAAAAAAUAUAUAUAAAAUAAAACGGAUCCACGGGUCGGAUCUGGGCCGGAUCCGGAUCUAAAAUUUCAAGAUCCAGAUCAGAUCCGUUUUCAAAAUGAGAUCCAGAUCCAGAUCCAGAUCCGUCGGGUCCGAAAAAUUGAGAUCCAGAUCCGUAAAAACGGAUCUGGAUCCACGGAUCUGGACCGGGUCCAAGAUCCACUGCCAUCCCCUAUCCCCCAAAUAAGUUCUUCUUUCUUUCUUUCUAUUUUUGGACAACUACCACACCACUAAUAAUACUUUAUUUAUUCUUACUUUUCACUUUUUCACCACUCUCAAUAUUAAUUAUAACACUUUUUCACCUUUUCAUCACUUUCAAUACUAAUUAUAACACAUUUUUCUCCACUAUCAAUACACUUACCAUUUUUUCUUAAAAUUUGUGUCGUCCCCAAAGAGAAACUUAUUUCAGGGACGGAGGGAGUAUUUAAGUUACUAGUACGUGCUCGCUCGUGCGAUACACGACCAUCAUCGAAAUUGAAUGAUAAUUUAAAUAAAUAAAUAAAUAAAUAAAUAAAUAUUAAAUAUAAUUUAUAUAUAAGUAAAAUACAAACAUGAAUCUCAAUAAAAAAAAAUUAAAUUAUCCACAACAUUAUCUCGAUAAAAAAUAUGAAUCUGAAAACAUUCGAAUUUUCAAAUUUUAAAAUAGCAAUUAAUUGAAUUAAUUGAUAAUGUGUAUAAAUAUAUGAAUCAUCAAAUAUCAAAAGCAAGUAUAAAUGAUAAUGAGUUUCAUUAUGGAUCAUAUAAUAUUCUAAGAUUUACAAAAUAUUUAUUUAUAUAUAAUUUAAUAUAUUUUUUGAAUACAUAUUUUGUAAGGAAUUGAUCACGCUGCAGUUGCAGCAAACCAACUCGAUCACAGCAACAAGAGUCGCAGCAAUAGACCUCUCAACUCACAAAGCUAAACACUCAAGUUCGUGAUGAAAAUUAAAGCAAUAAACAAAGAAAGGUGACACCAGAUUUUUACGUGGUUCAAUUGUUAAAACUACAUCCACGGAAGAUCACACAAGACCUUUCACUAUCACGAUCAAGAUGUUACAAAGAAUUACACAACAAAGAGCUAGAGAUGACAGCUCACAAGCCUAACUUAAGACUACUGUUUCUCAAUCUCUCUUUUCACUCUUUUUCUCAGAGAAUUCAUAAAACUUCUAACCUAAUCUAUGAGGAUUACAGAAUGUAUUUAAACUCAUAAAAUGAUCAAGUAAUGAGCUCACAAACUGAGCAGCAAGAUGCUAUGUGCGAAGUUGAAUUCUGUUAGUUUGUUUUCAACAAACUAAAUUCCUGCUUUGCACUUAAGCUCCUCAAUUGUUGAUAAUUUGCUUUUAACCCUUCACUUAAUAGCUGCAAUUAUGAAUUCACAUUCUACAUAUUUAAAUACUAUUUAUGCGGUCAUUUUGUUUAAAUAUAAAUUUUAAAAUAAAGUUCCUAUCAACGUCCAAAGAUUUGAUUUAUUCUAUCGGUGAGUCAUAAGUGUAUACAUGCAUGCAAUAACAGACCUACGAAUUUAAUUCUAGUCAGACAAGAUUUCAUUGAAAUUUUAUGAUCGGACGAAUUUAUAGAAUUUUUAAAAGAAUCACAUAAAAUAUAUAAGUAAUAAAAAUAAAUGACUUGGCGGCUGCCGAGGGUGCUUGGCCUUUAAAACCGCCCCUGAUGCCAUUUAAUUUGAAUAAAUAUGGUAAUAAUUAUUUUUAUAUCCAUUAAAAUUUUUAUUUAUAUUAAUUUAUCGAUAAAUAUUUUUUAUCAAUUGAUAAGUGAAAAAAUAAAGGGUUCAACGUGAGAUAUGUAUCUUUAUUAUUGUGCCCAAUAUCAGUUGCUAUAGGCGGUUUGUUAUUGUGGCAGCAAGUGGGAAAAUAUUUCUUAGUUUCAUUUGCAACUAGAAGUAUUCGUGUGGUUUCAAGUAUUGGUUAUUUCAGCUGUGUUUGUGUAUUUGUAGUAAUGGUGUUAUUAAUAAUUGUUAGUUCAACUAAUUUAAAGUACUGGUGUAAUGAUCGAAUCUUACAACAUUAGUACUGGUGUAAUGGAGUAUUUUUUUUAAAUAAAAAAUAUUUCUCUUAAAAAAUAAAAUAUUACCCCCUCUAUCUCACUUCAAAUGACCCAAAAAAAUUGGGCAUGAAAAUUAAGAAAUGUGUGAUAAAGGUGAAAAGUGGUGGUGGGACAACUCAAAAAAUAGUGUUAAAUACCUAAUGUUAUUUCUAAAUUUGGGUUGAGUCAUUUAAAGUGGAACAACUCAAAAUAGAAAUUGGAUCAUUUGAAGUGGGACGAAGGGAGUAUAAAUUUUAUAUAAGCAAUAGCCGAAUAUAUGGAUUGAAAUUGAUGCAACACAUUACAUAUAAUUUUCUUUUUUAAUUUGUUACACCAAAGAAAGGAAAAACGCACUCACACUCUAACCUUUUAGGUGACUGGAACCCAAUAAUAUAUAACAAAAUUUUACGUAUUUAUUUUAUAUAAUUUGUUCUCCUUCUUUCUUUCAUGUUUCUAUUUUAUAUAUUUUUUUUCUUAUUUAUUGUACAUUAACAAUUUCACUAACUAACAGAUUUUUUUUUCUAACUUAUAUAUAUACUAAAAACAAUGGGUCCAGAUUACUAAAAAAUUUGUUUAACUAAAGUAAUUAUUUACAGUAUAAUGAAUACAAUAAAAAAAUAUAAUUUGUGAGGGAUAUAUUUGUACUCUGAAAUGAUAAUAUUUUCAAAUGAGCAUUGAUAUGUUUACUGUUUAACUAUGUAUAUAAAAAUAAUACUACGUGAAAUUUUCUAAAUUUUAUGACUCCUUAAUAAUAUUUAGUCUUAACAUAAUUAGUACUCCCUCCGUCCCAUAAGUGCACACUUUCCUUUUUGGGUGUCCCAUAAAGCACAUUUCAAAAAAUGAAAUAUUUAUUGCAUAAGAUACACUAAUUAUUGCACUUAAUUAUGGUAUAAAUAAGAGACAAAAAAACCCUAAUCUUAUUUUUGCCAAAUUUCGUCCUCUCCGCCUCUCUCACUCUCUCGUCUCUCUCUCUCAAUCCAGCUUCUCCGGCGAGCCUCCGACCACCGCCGAGCACCCCUCGCCUCUCCGACCACUGACGGGGGCAGAGGGCCGAGACCUAGCCCUAGCCCCGCCGAACAGCGCGGCGCCCCUCCCCCUCUCUUCUCCUUCUCCGCCGCCGCCUGCUUCUCCUUCUCCAACCGACGGCGGCUCUGGGGCCGCGCCGCGACCGCCUUCCUUCUUCCCCUCGCAUCUCUCUCUGUCCGACUCCUCUCUCUUCCCCUCUCGGUUCUCCCUCGUCUCUCUCGCUCAUCUCUCUCUCGACCUCUGUGUUUGCCGCCGCCGCCUUCUCCGACCGAACAGCCGCCACCCAUUCUCUUCUCUUCUCCGACAGAUCUGGUUCUAGUGGCUAGGGUUUGCAGGGCGGCAGAGCUGGGGGCUAGGGGCUAGGGUUUGCAAGCGUUCGAUUUUGGGCAAGACCCCCUCCGCCUUGGUUCUGGAAUCCUCCAUUAUCGCCGCCCAUCUCCUCGCCCCAAUUCUGCCACCGCUCAUCUCCUCGCCCCAAUUGUUUGUGGGUUCGAUUAUCUCUUGGUUUUGAUUUGCAAUUGUUUCUGGGUUCGAUUUGCAAUUGUUUAUGGGUUCGAUUUUUCAAUUUGCAAUUUUCAAUCUGUCCAAUUGUUUCUGGAUUGAUUCAAUCAGUUUUUGAAUCAGUUUCUGCAGUCACAAAUUUGCAAUUGUUUAUGGGUUCGAUUUUCAGCGGCAUAGCAGAGGGAAUCGACGGUCGUGGUCGACGGCGGCGGCGGCGCUGGUGGUCGGCGGUGGUCGGAGCAGAUGAGAGAGAGAGAGUUGGGGUUUAAUAAAGACAUUAAUGAAAUUACAAAAAUUUAAAAUUCAACUAAAACAUUAAAUAGAAAUAAAUAAAUACACUAAAUUAAAACUAAUCAACUACACUAAUAGUGGUGAGCCACAACACUUUAACAACUAAUCUACCUUUCCUUAAUCUCCGUGCCCAAAAGACCUAUGUCUUUAUUAAUGGGACGGAGGGAGUAAUAUUUAGUCUUAACAUAAUUAGUACUCUCUACGUCCCAUUAAAGUUGGCCACAUUUCCUUUUUGGUUGUCCCACUAAAGUUGGUCACUUUCUAAAAAUUGAAAUAUUUAUUUUAGUUAAGUCCAAUUAGUUCAUUUAAUUAAAAAUUUCUAGUUAAAUCUAAACCCUCUUUAUUUAAAAACACACACACAAAACACACACUAACACACGCACACAGCCAACCCCCCCUCCCCCAGCGCCGACCCCCUUCUCUUUUCUUCUCCGGCGGCCGCCCCAUCCCCUGACCUCCCUCUCACUCUCCCUCGCCUCUGCUCUCUCAGGAUCUGGCCCUCCACCGCCUCCCUUCACCUAGUGUCGCUCCACACCUCCAUUUCUUCCACCCGCGCCGCCUUCCUCCACCUCCUCGCCUUCCUUCACCCGCCUCCGCCUCCGCCUCCCUCCACCUAGCGCCACUCCACAGCCUCCAUUUGGGGCUAGGGUUUUUCCUCUCCGCCUCUUCGAUUUGGGGCUAGGGCUUUGCCUUCGCCGCCGAUUUGGGCUAGGGCUUUGCCGCUCCGCCUCUCCAGUCGGCUGCAUCUGCGAUUUGGGGCUAGGGCUUUGCCGCCGCCGCCGAUUUGCCUCUCCAGGCAGCGCCGCUUCCUUCGGGUUUGGAGAUUGAGGAGAUUUCGCUGCGAUUUGGGCGAGCGGCUGAAAAUCUAAGCCUAGGUCCGCCGAUUUGGGGGUGAGCGAUGGAGUGUCGAUUGGGUUAUCUCUUUCAUUUUUUCGGUUUUUAGCUGAACAUUGAAGCUUGGUUUGGGUGAGGCAGGUGAUGCGAAGCCUGGAUUAAUUUUUGAUUGAAGCCUUUUUUUGGCUUUGGCUGAAAAUCGAAGCCUAGCUUUGAUGGGCGCCGAAGCUCGCCUGUCGUUGAUUCGCCUGUGAAGGUGAAGUUUGGUUUGGGUGAGGGGCGAGCGGUGACCACCGGCGCCGGCGUCGCCGGCGCCGUCGCCGUUGCCAUUACCAGAUGCAGUGAAGUUAGGUUGAAGAAGAUAAAGUUAGGUUGGAGGAAAUUUUAAUUAAUUCAUUAAUUUUGAUGGACCACAUUUAAUUAAACACUAACUAUCCCUUUCUUAAUCUCCAUGCCGAAAAGAAUGUGGCCAACUUUAAUGGGACAGAGGGAAUAUUAAUUAAUUCAAACGUUUAAGUUCUAUGAUGGUAAAGAAGAAAAAAUAAUAGAAUUACAAAUACAUAAUUUAUCUAUCAACAAUCGUAUUUUUUUUUUAAUUUUUAAGAAAAAAAAAAUGUAUACCCUAUAGAACUAUAUAUUGCAUCCACAAAAUUACCAUUUUAAUUUAAAUUUUUGCAAAUGUUCUUCGUGAAAUACAUCAAUAAAAUAUUGGGUUAAGGUACAAAUGCCCCCCUAAACAAGACACCCCUCGAGCGCAUCCCUCUCCAUUUUCUCGAUGUUGGCCCAAAUAAACUCCUAGAGUCCAAAAAUAGGGUACACUUAAACUCAGGCGUUAAACGACCGUCUAACGCCGUGCACUUAAAUUUUAAAUUUUUGUUUUAUUUUCUCGUGGGGUCCACUUUCAUCACAACGAUCCAAAUCAACCACCUUCAUCUUCUUCUUCAUCUCUCCUAUCAUACUCAGUCGAUACUCCCGAGUACCCGCCUUAUCUCUUCAACAUUCCCACCACCACCACCGCCGCCACAGCUUUCCUCCCACAAUAAACCCCCAUCUUCUCAUCAUCAAUUCCAUUAUCAUCAUUCCUGCACGACCAACCAUACAGAUCCUCAGCCAGUUCCGCAACGCGCAGUUCCCCUCAAUCGAGAGCGAAGACGCCGCAAUGACAAAAGCCAUUCUAGCCGUCUAUUGUGUAUUGAAUCGGGUUAACACAAAUUAAUAUGCAAGUGCACGUAGUUUCAAUAAGUAAUAAAAGGAAGUAUUCCAAGAUCGUCUCCACAUGGAAUGCAAAAUAAAACUUAAACUAUCUCAGCUACAAAGAAACAAGCAAUUUAAGAACUACUUGAAAGCUAGAAAUUAAUUAAUGCUUUAAAUCAAGAUGAUGGUUUUCUAAUAAACUAAAACUAAACUAAGGUUGGUAAAAAUCUUAACUAAAGUUAACUAGACAGAAGAUAGAAGAUUAAACAAAGAAAAUAUAUAAGAGAAACGGANGCAAACUCUCAUUCCCUUCUAGAAUUUCAGUUUCAUGUAACACCCCAUCAGACUCCCAACCACCUUCACCAUAGCCACUAACACCCUCACUGCCCUCACAAUCACCAUCAUUGCCCUCACCCUCCCCAUCACUGCCCUCAAUAACACCCUCACCCUCUGUACAACCCUCAAUGCCCUCACCAUGUUUACUAACUGUCUCUUUACUCCCACCCUCAACACACACAGUAACAAUCAUGUGUUUACCCAUUUCAUUCAACAUAUUCAUUACCCCUUUGUCGUCUUUUAUUAGUUUAUGUGUUUGAGUUGUAGGGACACGAUAGUACAGGUGUUGUGGUAAAAUCGGAUUAACACAAUUUAAUACGCAAGUGCACGUAGUCUCAACAAGUAAUAAGAGGAAGUAUUCCAAGAUCGUCUCCACAGGGAAUGCAAAUUAGAACUUAAACUAUCUCAGCUACAAAGAAACAAGCAAAAUAAGAACUACUUGAAAACUAGAAAUUAAAUAAAGCUUUAAAUCAAGAGGAUGGUUUUCUAAUAAACUAAAAUUAAACUAAGGUUGGUUAAAAUCUUAACUAAAGUUAACUAGACAGAAGAAAAAAAAUUAAACAAAGAAAAUAUAUAAGAGAAACGGACUUGGAUUGAUGAAUCCCACUAUAUCUUUCACACUGAACAGAAUGCUGCAGCAAUAUUUAAGCAAAAUCUCACAGUUACGAAAAUUCACAAACAUUCAUAGAACUUUCUCAAAUCCUAUGGUUUCUCAUUCUACAACUUUCUCGAGCAUAUUCCUAUGCUAAAUCAAGCUUAGAACAACAGAUACACAGCUCCAAUUUCUAACCGCACACAAGGUGUUGGGAACCUUGUGGAAUAUCCUAACCCUUGUUUUGAUGAUACCAAAAUUCAUAGGACUUAAAUGUAAUAGACUAGAAUCGUUUUUGAACUCAAGUGUUAGAGUUCGUUUCUAGUUUAGUUGCGGUGUCAAAGACUGAAGACUGAAGAACGAAGACUGAAGACUGAANNNNNNNNNNNNNNNNNNNNNNNNNNNNNNNNNNNNNNNNNNNNNNNNNNNNNNNNNNNNNNNNNNNNNNNNNNNNNNNNNNNNNNNNNNNNNNNNNNNNNNNNNNNNNNNNNNNNNNNNNNNNNNNNNNNNNNNNNNNNNNNNNNNNNNNNNNNNNNNNNNNNNNNNNNNNNNNNNNNNNNNNNNNNNNNNNNNNNNNNNNNNNNNNNNNNNNNNNNNNNNNNNNNNNNNNNNNNNNNNNNNNCAGAAUGUUGUAGUAAACUCCCAGCAACGCUUAAGUCCCUACACAAAACCAACAAAUCUCUCAUUUGUCUAUUUUUAUAUGAGAUUAGCUAACUUUGGCAUCAAUUUUCAUAUAUCUCAAUUCUCAAACACCCAAAAACGAAAGAGCGAAACGACAAUAAAACGUAAAAGAAAACCUAAAGAACUACACAAAACAUGCAUCAAACUCUUCUUAAAAGCUUAAAAGAAUGAAUAAUAACUCUUAAUACAAGAGUUAUCACCGCCCUCUCCUCUCCUUCAACCUCCUCUACCUCUCACCACAACCUUCCCCGAAACAUUCCCACUUCAUUCACAAGAUACCAAGCGAACUCCGCCCCUCGGCUCGCCUCCGCGUCUCAGAACCAUAACAAGUUCAAAAGAGUCGUUUCAUUUUUCAGAAAGCUGAACCUCCUGAGAAGCAGACAUGAAAUUCAGGGCCAAGGAAACCUCUCCACCGCUACGCAGCUGCACCACAUGAUCUCCGAGAGAAAGCGCCGCUAGAAGUUCAACGAAAGCUUCUAGAUGCUCAGAUCUUUCAUCCCUCAUGGAACCAAGGUACCUAAUUCACCAUUAUCGAUCUUCCAAUAAAAAAUCCUUCCAUUUUUUUCGGGGGGAAAUCUCAUGAGUCGUUAUCUUGAUGCAGAAGGAUAAGGCGUCUGUGCUGAGCAGCACCACCGAGUAUCUGAGCUCGUUGAAGUCACAGGUGGCGAAGCUGGCCAAGUGGAAUCUGCUUCUUGAAUCGUAGAUUAACUCGAUACAGAAAUUAGAAAGUGACGCAGACGAAGCGGGGAGUUCUUCGUCCGGUGGUGAAAAGAUUAUUGUGGAGAUCGCGCAGGUUUCAUCGUCGUCGGAGGAGGAAGCAAGUCGUGUUAGAUCAGUUGCAGUUCAGUAAUUAAACAUAUAUGGAGGUGGGACCUACAAGAAAAAAAAAUUAGUAAAAUUUAAGUUGACGGCGUUAGACAGCCGUUUAGAGUCUGGGUUUAAAUGUACCCUUUUUUUGGACUCUGGGGGUGUAUUUGGGCCAGCAUCGAGAAUGAGGAGGGAUAUGCUCUAGGGAUGUAUUGUUUAGGGGGCAUUUGUACCUUAAGCCUUUCUUUUAUUAGUGAUCAAUGUAUAAUUAUUACGUAUAUUUUCUUUCACAAAAACUUAUCUGCCGCCUCACAAAUUGAGCGCUCACCACAUGCGCGCGGAUCUUGGUGCGACCCGACCCGGAUCCGGGUCCAUCAUAUAAAAAAAUUUCCUGAAAACCUACCAUUUUCUUAUUUCUCCUUAUUCUCCCUCUGUAGCCGCUCUGUCCGUCUUCUCCCUCUCUCCCACUUUCCAGAAUCAAGAUUGUCAAUUAAUGUCUUAUCUGUAACGAAUGAUUUGCAAGAGCGACGUUGGGAAAAGGAGCGAACAGAGCGAUCGCGACGCUGUUCGGCGAAGCGCACGAUUUGGUGAAUCUGACGCCAAAGAAAGUGGAGGUCGUUUUGAUCUUACGCCAGCAGGUGUAGUCGAAGGCGGUGUGAAAUUUCCAUAGAUUCAUGGCGNUUGCAGGGUUCGUACACUCUGACAAUGAAAAUGGUGGAUGGGAACAACAACCAGUUGACAUGCAUUACAGUCGACUUCAGCAUCGGUUUCAUAGCAGAAGAGAAGUUGGCUGAUAUGUAAAUGCUCGAGAAUAUUCCUAUAUUUCCUGGCUUUAAUGUAUAGAAGACUUGUUUCUAUGUAUGAUGUCCGAACCCUUUCACGUUUGAGUAUCUGUGUAUGUACGCCGACGGUAAAGACUUUUAAUAAAUUUUACAUCCCCAUUUUCUGGUUUUGGUUGAUUCUUGAUAGUAUAUAACUAUUUGAGUGCCU
rnacentral:lncRNA from 1 species